GCCGCAAAGGUAGUCUGGUAGCCUUCAGGCCUGUGGAGCCUGCCGUCGCGGGUUCAAAUCCCGCCUGCGGCC
rnacentral:tRNA from 1 species